CUCAGGAAUAAUAAAUUAGGUCACAUGACAGAACUUUAGACACGGGUAAUUGCUUUCCAGUUUUAAACACAAGUUCAAUACGUUCAUUAUGAAACUUUAUUUCAGGUUAGACAUUAAAAAAUGCCAGAAUUAAUAGCUAAUAGAAAUAAAAAUUACUUUUCCCUCUUACCUGAAAAGAGACAGAGCCAAAAUUUAGACAGACGCAAUGUUGAAAGGUCCUCUGUGGCACAGGGAGUGACACUGGCAGCAGGUUUAAUACCUGAAUCAGAGAGCUGACAGCUCACCUAUUAUUAUUGUGGCUCUUCAUGAACUUUUUAACCCUUGCACUUCAGUGACAAACAAGUUCCCUUGUUGCUUCAGGGAGGCAAAAAAAAGAACAUCCCUAAAAACCUGAUGUGAACUUCUGUACUGAAAAUACAUCUUUUCCCCAGCUUCAGUCCUAACUAUAAAUAAAAGGGGGGAAAAAAGGCUUUUGACAUCUAAAUGCCUGUUUAUCUACAUAAUAUAUCUGAUUAAUAAUUACAUCUGAUUAUUUGUUACAAAAUGGUUCCUCUUGAAUUUAGAACUAAAGGGUAACAACUUUUCUAAUUGCUGCUCCUGUCAGGAACUCGACAUAGAUUUGGCUCCUCUGUGGACAGAGCGGUGUUUGCUUAUCUUGUCCUCUACUGCUGAUUUUUGACCAUCAAAUUGAUCAUUUUACGUGAAUACUUUUAAUAAUAAUAAAAAAAAGGGUUGUUUGUUUAGCUGCUAGACUGACACCUCCCCCCUUGUACCAUUUCCAGGCAUUAGAAAUUAAGAUCUCGUUUCUAGCUUUGUUUGCUUUUGGAUAUCAUGAAAGGCAUUGCUGUAACCGUAAUGGAUGCUCAAUAAGGUUAUGGGUGCAGCAGCAGGUAAGCAUGGGUGCAGGUGCAGGUAUGUAUGAAGCAGCAGCUUGAAAUGUUUUCACACUAAGGGAAUUCAACGAAAGGCGCCAUGUUUGUAUAGUUCUUGUACUUAAAGUCAGUACUACACUGUUGUUUUAGUAUUGAAAGGAUAUGAAUAACUUUGAUUGAAGCGAGUGUGGAGUUGUUGUUUAUUCUAACCCGAAGGCGUCUGUGUGAGCUAUAAUUACCAGGGCCUACAGGUAGCUCCGAUUCCUCAGACUGGCGCUGAUUUAAGCAGACAAAAAAAAGAGACAGAAAGAAAAUGGGGAAGGAAAUCCAUGUGUAAGUCUGAGCCAUGCGUUUCACCAGAGCGUGGAUUUUCAUGUGCCGGGGAGUUCAAGGUUCUUGUUUUAUUUUUAUUUGGACUGGAGGAAGAAUGGAGAUUUCCUUGAACUAAACUGCUAACCUAGUUUGUUGGAUAUGUUAAAAACCACAUACAUGCUGAACACAUUUCCACAAAUGUUUUUCUCCUCAUCAGACUGCUGUCUGUGUGGUAAAAAAGGCGAUAAUGAUCAAGUAUUCCCCGCACUAAGAUUCAAUCUGAGCACGACUCCCAGGUAGCCGUCAUUUACCUUAAUUUUACAGAUUCCUUUUUGAUAAUGAUCUACUUUUGUACAUUCUCUGCCUUUCACUGUUGUAGACAAAUCACUGAGCUGGAACAUGCUCUUUAUGCCUCCCUGCUUGUAAAUCGUGUGACCUGGUAACACCCGAGGGGAAAACAUCUGAAAACAGAUUUAAGGUUUUAUGAUACUUAGAGAUGACAAUAAUUAUAAAGUAGAGGGACAGUUUAGAGUGAUGCUGCUCUCUUUGUCUUUCAUAAAUAAAACUUUCUUGACAACAUGAACACAAACAAAGAAAGGUGUGGUGUGUGUUUUUAAUGUCAACUUGUUAAACCAGUUAUGCAUGAUUUAAGUCAUUUGAUC